rnacentral:rRNA from 1 species
GACGAACGCUGGCGGCGUGCUUAACACAUGCAAGUCGAACGGAAAGGCCCUGCUUUUGUGGGGUGCUCGAGUGGCGAACGGGUGAGUAACACGUGAGUAACCUGCCCUUGACUUUGGGAUAACUUCAUGAAACUGGGGCUAAUACCGGAUAGGAGCUCCUGCUGCAUGGUGGGGGUGGGAAAGUUUCGGCGGUUGGGGAGGGACUCGCGGCUUAUCAGCUUGUUGGUGGGGUAGUGGCUUACCAAGGCUUUGACGGGUAGCCGGCCUGAGAGGGUGACCGGCCAAAUUGGGACUGAGAUACGGCACAGACUCCUACGGGAGGCAGCAGUGGGGAAUAUUGCACAAUGGGCGGAAGCCUGAUGCAGCAACGCCGCGUGCGGGAUGACGGCCUUCGGGUUGUAAACCGCUUUCGCCUGUGACGAAGCGUGAGUGACGGUAAUGGGUAAAGAAGCACCGGCUAACUCCGUG